ACUCUUUAACUAUCAUCAGAUCAAUAAAAACCAGAAGAAGUCAUGGCUCAGAACGAUACAGUGAAGCUGAUAGGUUCUUGGU
rnacentral:sRNA from 1 species